AUGUGCUGCUUCUAAUCGUCCUCAGGACAAUUAUUGACCAUUUGACCUCAAAUCAGGUAGGACUACCCGCUGAACUUAAGCAUAUCAAUAAGCGGAGGG
rnacentral:rRNA from 3 species